rnacentral:lncRNA from 1 species
GCACACUCCUUAUGAGAAUCCAGUGCCUAAUGGUCUGUCACUGUCUUCCAUCAGCCCCAGAUGGGACCAUCUAGUUGCAGGAAAACAAGCUCAGGGCUCCCACUGGUUCUACAUUAUGAUGCGUGCUGUGAUGAGAAAUUCUGAAGCACACAUUAGAAGCAAUGAUGGUUAUCAGCCUAGCAGAGGCUGAUGGGCUUCCUCAGAUCCCGCCAUGGCACCAAAGGAAUGCCAGAAAAUGAUUGGCUGGGGAGCUCUUCCACAUUGUCAGGAACACUGGAAAAAGGCUGCAAGAGAAUGAUGAGAAAAAACCUGGAGAAUGGCAAAUGCUUCAGUGAAGCAAUCUGUUACAUUCCUUCUUGCAGAGUGGGAUGCCUGGCCUGAGAUGAGAGAAGUAAUAGGACAGAGAGGAAGUGAAAGAAAUAGAACCCGAGGAGAGCAGGACAGAAAGAAAAGAUUUAUAGCAUGGAUUGUAGCCACUCUAAUAUUUGGGCUCCUCCUGAACUUAAUCCAACUUCCACGUUACUGAAAAUUUAUUAUUUCCCUUAUGGAUUUGUAGAAAACAGAUAGCAAAUGAGUAAGAAAAAUGGAAAGAGACACAAAAAAGAGACAAAAAACGGAGAGGACUGUGAGUCCAAUUCCUGUUUCUCCUGCUUUUGUCAGACCAAGUAAAA